CUACGGGAUGCUCCAGUGAGGAAUAUUGCACAAUGGGGGGAACCCUGAUGCAGCAACGCCGCGUGGAGGAUGACGCAUUUCGGUGUGUAAACUCUUUUUAUAUGUCAAGAAAAUGACGGUAGCAUAUGAAUAAGCACCGGCUAACUCCGUGCCAGCAGCCGCGGUAAUACGGAGACUGCGAGCGUUGUUCGGAAUCACUGGGCGUAAAGGGUGCGUAGGCGGUUUGGUAAGUCGGAUGUGAAAGCCCAAGGCUCAACUUUGGAACUGCAUCCGAUACUGCUGAACUAGAGUGCAGGAGGGGAGAGCGGAAUUCUUGGUGUAGCGGUGAAAUGCGUUGAUAUCAAGAAGAACACCGGUGGCGAAGGCGGCUCUCUGGAAUGUUACUGACGCUGAGGCACGAAAGCUGGGGGAGCAAACAGGAUUAGAUACCCUGGUAGUC
rnacentral:rRNA from 1 species